AUUACCAGCUUUUAAGGUUUACUGUGAUAUGAGUAAUGGAGGUGGCUGGACUGUAUUUCAAAGGAGAAUGGAUGGCACUGUUAACUUCUAUCUCAAAUGGGCCGACUAUGUUAAAGGAUUCGGAGACCUCAAUGGAGAGUUUUGGCUGGGACUUAAUAAUAUAUACCGGCUGACAAAAAGCAGCACUAGCCUUCAUAUUGACUUGGAAGAUUUUGAAGAGAAUCAGAGGUUAUGGAGGUGAUGCUGGUGAUGGUAUGGCAUAUCAAAAUGGAACGAAGUUCACGACGUAUGAUUACGACAAUGACACUGGCACAGGAAAUUGUGGACUUAUAUGUAGUGGAGCAUGGUGGUGGUAUAAAUAUUGUCAUAUUGCUAAUCUCAAUGUUUAUAUUUAGUUGGUAGUCACACCUCAUAUGCUAAUGGUGUCAACUGGUCAAGGGGUUCUGUUAGUCAUUGAAGACAACUGUAACGAAAAUGAGGAGGAAUUCUGGAACUAUUUAUUAUUAAUUUUAAUAUUAAUAAUCCAUGAUUAUUAUUAGU